GGAGGUAAAAGUCGUAACAAGGUUUCCGUAGGUGAACCUGCGGAAGGAUCAUUAAUGAGUUGUCAUGGGGUUCGAUGCUGGCAGCCAGUUUUUGGAUGCAUGUGCUUGCCCUAACAAUCAUCUUCUUCCAAACACCUGUGCACAUUUUUGAGGGAGUCUUGAGUUGGUUGCCGCUCUUGGGUGAUUUUCUCACAUUCCCUUAAAUCAUUAUACGCUAUUAACAAUGUUGAACGUGCUCUGUGCCGCAAGGCCAUUAAUAUAAUACAACUUUUAACAACGGAUCUCUUGGCUCUC
rnacentral:misc_RNA from 1 species